GAAAAGGCUUGUCAACCUUCGGAGGCUCGUAAACUGGAGGCUUUGGAAAUGGCUUGUCGAUCUUGGGAGGCUCAUAAACUGGAGGCUUUGGAUAUGGCUUGUCAAUCUUGGGAGGCUUUGGGAAUGGCUUCUCAAUCUUGGGAGGUUUUGGGAAUGGCUUCUCAAUCUUUGGAGGCUUGGGAAAUGGCUUGCCAACCUUCGGAGGCUCGUAAACUGGAGGCUUUGGGAAUGGCUUGUCAAUCUUGGGAGGCUUUGGGAAUGGCUUAUCAAUCUUGGGAGGCUUUGGGAAAGGCUUGUCAAUCUUGGGAUGUUCGUAAAAUGGUGGCUUAGAGUAAUCAGCAAGAGAUGGAGUGGCGAGAAGUACCACCACCCCAAGGAGCAACACUGGCAAGUAUGUUAGAGACAUCUUCUU
rnacentral:lncRNA from 1 species